AUGCAAGCUGAUCAUAAUACCGGUGUGUAAGAAGGCCUUAGGGUUGUAAAGCACUUUCAAUUGGAAGGAAAAACUCAUGGCCAAUACCCAGUGAGCUUGACAUUACCUUUAGAAGAAGCACCGGCUAACUCCGUGCCAGCAGCCGCGGUAAUACGGAGGGUGCAAGCGUUAAUCGGAAUUACUGGGCGUAAAGCGUGCGUAGGCGGCUCGCUAAGUCAGAUGUGAAAGCCCCGGGCUCAACCUGGGAACGGCAUUUGAAACUGGCAAGCUAGAGUUUAGGAGACGAGAGUGGAAUUUCAGGUGUAGCGGUGAAAUGCGUAGAGAUCUGAAGGAACACCAGUGGCGAAUGCGACUCUCUGGCCUAAAACUGACGCUGAGGUACGAAAGCGUGGGUAGCAAACAGGAUUAGAUACCCUGGUAGUCCCACGCCGUAAACGAUGUCAACUAGCCGUUGGCUCUCUUAGAGAGUU
rnacentral:rRNA from 1 species